rfam:Cavia porcellus supercont2_123 genomic scaffold, whole genome shotgun sequence.
AGAUCCCCAAUGUGGGACCUGAGAAUGGGGGACUUCGUGAGGGAAGCUAUUUGUGGGCCCAAAGUAGAAAAAAGAAAAGGAAAUAGAGGACCUGGCAACAUGGGAGCCUGCCAUGCUGCUAAACCUUGGUAAGUGAAGAGAGAUUAUGGAACAAGAAAUGAGCCAGCAUGAGAUUUUUGUUGUAAAUUUAGGAAAGGCUUUAAAGGCACAGUAAGUAAAGGUUAAAAUUAAGCAGUUAUGUCAAUAUUUUGAUUUUAUAAAGGAAGUUUUUCCCU